rnacentral:rRNA from 1 species
UACGUAGGGUGCAAGCGUUGUCCGGAUUUAUUGGGCGUAAAGAGCUCGUAGGCGGUUAGUCACGUCGGAUGUGAAAACCCGGAGCUUAACUCCGGGCCUGCAUUCGAUACGGGCUGACUAGAGUGUUGUAGGGGAGACUGGAACUCCUGGUGUAGCGGUGAAAUGCGCAGAUAUCAGGAAGAACACCGGUGGCGAAGGCGGGUCUCUGGGCAACUACUGACGCUGAGGAGCGAAAGCUAGGGGAGCAAACGGG